rnacentral:rRNA from 1 species
AACGCAUUAUAUACAACUUUCAGCAAAGGAUCUCUUGGCUCUCGCAUCGAUGAAGAACGCAGCGAAAUGCGAUAAGUAAUGUGAAUUGCAGAAUUCAGUGAAUCAUCGAAUCUUUGAACGCACCUUGCGCUCCUUGGUAUUCCGAGGAGCAUGCCUGUUUGAGUGUCAUGGAAUUAUCAACUUCUAUAACUUUUGUUAUGGAGGCUUGGACUUGGAGGUUGUGUUGGCUUGCAAGAGUCAACUCCUCUGAAAUGCAUUAGUGUGAAUCUUACGGAUCGCCUUCAGUGUGAUAAUUAUCUACGCUGUGGUGUCGAAGUAUUUAAUGUCGCGCUUCUAACUGUCUGCAAGGACAAUUACUUGACAAUCUGACCUCAAAUCAGGUAGGACUACCCGCUGAACUUAAGCAUAUCAAUAAGCGGAGGAAAAGAAACUAACAAGGAUUCCCCUAGUAACUGCGAGUGAAGCGGGAAAAGCUCAAAUUUAAAAUCUGGUAGUCUUUGGCUGCCUGAAUUGUAGUCUAGAGAAGCGUCUUCCGCGC